GGGAUCACUCCACUGAAAGGAGAAGUAUGCAUCUUAUAUUAUAAGAGAUGGCCUGCACUCCACAUUCAAGAAGGGGACUAGGUCUAGUCUCUUUGCAAUAGAGGUAGUAAAACAUAAGAGCUAAGCUUGCUUCUCAACUUAUAUUGAGACUAGAUUUACUUUGCACCAGCUCAUUACUACUAACUAUAAUUUUUAAGGCUUUUAGGGUCACUAUGCUACUCCUUGUUAUUCUUCUACUAUCUGAAAAUAUAUUUCAGCUACAAGUUCUGCAAUUCAAUAUAGUUUUAUAUGGAAUAUUUGAGAUAGUACAUAUUAGGGCUAAGCACGGGUCAGAUU
rnacentral:lncRNA from 1 species